rnacentral:rRNA from 1 species
AGAUUGAACGCUGGCGGCAGGCCUAACACAUGCAAGUCGAGCGGUAGAGAGGUGCUUGCACCUCUUGGGAGCGGCGGACGGGUGAGUAAUGCCUAGGAAUCUGCCUAGUGGUGGGGGAUAACGUUCGGAAACGGACGCUAAUACCGCAUACGUCCUACGGGAGAAAGCGGGGGACCUUCGGGCCUCGCGCCAUUAGAUGAGCCUAGGUCGGAUUAGCUAGUUGGUGAGUAAUGGCUCACCAAGGCACGAUCCGUAACUGGUCUGAGAGGAUGAUCAGUCACACUGGAACUGAGACACGGUCCAAGA